rnacentral:rRNA from 1 species
UACGGGGGGGGCAGGCGUUGUUCGGAAUUACUGGGCGUAAAGGGCUCGUAGGUGGCCAACUAAGUCGGACGUGAAAUCCCUCAGCUUAACUGGGGAACUGCGUCCGAUACUGGAUGGCUUGAGUUUGGGAGAGGGAUGCGGAAUUCCAGGUGUAGCGGUGAAAUGCGUAGAUAUCUGGAGGAACACCGGUGGCGAAGGCGGCAUCCUGGACCAACACUGACACUGAGGAGCGAAAGCCAGGGGAGCAAACGGG